AUCAUUCUCACAACCAUCGACCUGUGUUAGCAUCUCCCAUCCAUCGUUCGGGGUACGUUCUGUAACGGUGUGACGGUUGUAGAUACUAACAGUUCGUCCAUCAUGGAGCCCUCUUCUUUUAGUAGAGUGCUUCGGACGACAGGCGCGAAGAACAACUUUGGCAGCUUCCGGCAGCCUGAGCUCACCGCAAGGUUUGAGCUCGGUGUAUGGUUGUCUGUCAGGCAGACUGAUUCCGUUUCCCUUUUGCUAGGCCGUCGGCCGUUGAUGCUUGGGACUAACCCAGUCGGCUACAUUC
rnacentral:sRNA from 1 species